AUGAACGCUGGCGGCGUGCCUAAUACCUGCAAGUCGCGCGAACAGACGAGGAGCUUGCUCCUCUGACGUUAGCGGCGGACGGGUGAGUAACACGUGGAUAACCUACCUAUAAGACUGGGAUAACUUCGGGAAACCGGAGCUAAUACCGGAUAAUAUAUUGAACCGCAUGGUUCCAUAGUGAAAGACGGUUUUGCUGUCACUUAUAGAUGGAUCCGCGCCGCAUUAGCUAGUUGGUAAGGUAACGGCUUACCAAGGCAACGAUGCGUAGCCGACCUGAGAGGGUGAUCGGCCACACUGGAACUGAGACACGGUCCAGACUCCUACGGGAGGCAGCAGUAGGGAAUCUUCCGCAAUGGGCGAAAGCCUGACGGAGCAACGCCGCGUGAGUGAUGAAGGUCUUCGGAUCGUAAAACUCUGUUAUUAGGGAAGAACAAAUGUGUAAGUAACUAUGCACGUCUUGACGGUACCUAAUCAGAAAGCCACGGCUAACUACGUG
rnacentral:rRNA from 1 species